GCCCAGCCCUGACCCUGCAGCUCUGGGAGAGGAGCCCCUGCCUGGGAUUCCCGGAAGUUUCCACUUGGUGACCAGCACUGAACACAGACCACCAGCCAUGGAGUUGGGACUGAGCUGGGUUUUCCUUGUUGCUAUUUUAAAAGGUGUCCAGUGUGAGGUGCAGCUGGUGGAGUCUGGGGGAGGCUUGGUCCAGCCUGACGGGUCCCUGAGACUCUCCUGUGCAGCCUCUGGAUUCACCUUCAGUGACCACUACAUGCAGUGGGUCCGCCAGGCUCCAGGAAAGGGGCUGGAGUGGGUAGGUUUCAUUAGAAACAAAGCUAAUGGUGGGACAACAGAAUACGCCGCGUCUGUGAAAGGCAGAUUCACCAUCUCAAGAGAUGAUUCCAAAAGCAUCACCUCUCUGCAAAUGAACAGCCUGAAAACCGAGGACACGGCCGUGUAUUACUGUGCUAGAGACACGGUGAGGGGAGCCCCACCAGCAUCCAUUGUAUUUUGACUUUUUAGUGGCAGCCAUUCUGAGUGGUUGUACCUUCUGAGGCCGCACAGCUACAAUUACCUGACCUAUGAUAAGGCAGGUGAAAACAAGCAGUAAGGAAGUAAAUAAAUUGUGCUGUUCAACAAAUGGUGCUGGGACAACUGGCUAGCCAUAAGAUGAAGAUUGAAGCCAGACGUCUACCUUCAACAUAUGUAAAAUUAACUCAAAAUUGAUGAACUAUUUAAAUGUAAGACUUCAAACCAUAAAAUCCUUGAGGACAACCUAGGAAAUAUUCUUCUCGACCCCAGCUUUGACAAAGAAUUUUUGGCUAAGUAUCCAAAAGCAAUUGCAACAGAAACAAAAAACAGACAAAUGGGACCUAAUUAACUAAGGAGUUUCUGCUCAGCAAAACGAACAAACAGACAAACAAACAAGCAAACAAAACU